rnacentral:rRNA from 1 species
GUUGACCUCGGAUCAGGUAGGGAUACCCGCUGAACUUAAGCAUAUCAAUAAGCGGAGGAAAAGAAACCAACCGGGAUUGCCUCAGUAACGGCGAGUGAAGCGGCAAAAGCUCAAAUUUGAAAUCUGGCUCCUUCGGGGUCCGAGUUGUAAUUUGCAGAGGAUGCUUCGGUUGCGGCCCCCAUCUAAGUACCCUGGAACGGGUCGUCAUAGAGGGUGAGAAUCCCGUAUGGGAUGGGGUGUCCGCGUCCGUGUGAAGCUCCUUCGACGAGUCGAGUUGUUUGGGAAUGCAGCUCUAAAUGGGUGGUAAAUUUCAUCUAAAGCUAAAUACUGGCCGGAGACCGAUAGCGCACAAGUAGAGUGAUCGAAAGAUGAAAAGCACUUUGAAAAGAGAGUUAAACAGCACGUGAAAUUGUUGAAAGGGAAGCGCUUGCGAUCAGACUCGCCUACGGGGUUCAGCCGGCUUUCGGGCCGGUGUACUUCCCCGUGGGCGGGCCAGCGUCGGUUUGGGCGGCCGGUCAAAGGCCCCUGGAAUGUAGCGCCUCUCGGGGCGCCUUAUAGCCAGGGGUGCAAUGCGGCCAGCCUGGACCGAGGAACGCGCUUCGGCACGGACGCUGGCAUAAUGGUCGUAAGCGACC